rnacentral:rRNA from 1 species
UACAGAGGGGGCAAGCGUUAUUCGGAAUUAUUGGGCGUAAAGGGCGCGUAGGCGGCCUGGCAAGUGGAUGGUGAAAUCCCUCGGCUUAACCGAGGAACUGCCAUCCAGACUGCUUGGCUUGAGACCGGGAGAGGUGAGUGGAAUUCCUAGUGUAGCGGUGAAAUGCGUAGAGAUUAGGAAGAACACCAGUGGCGAAGGCGACUUACUGGACUGUAACUGACGCUGAGGCAUGAAAGCGUGGGGGAGCAAACAGG